AGGACUUCGCCCCACCGACAGGUUCCCCGACACCCAGCAGAAGAAGUGAAAUCCAUACUGAGUCUGUAGAUGUUUAGACCUUGGGGCUGGCUUCCCUGGUGCCAUCUGUCAUUCUCUUUGCUCUGCCAGAAACAGGAUUCUCUUUGUCUCUGGUUGAUCUGC
ensembl:misc_RNA